CUGGCAUUCCUAGGAGACAAAUCAGCAUAGUGGCCCAAGGCCAAUGUGGGUGAACAGGCCACCAGGAUAAUGUAAUUUGAAAGGUGCUCUAAAGGCACUUGCAUUCUAAGGUUUGUUCACCAAGGUUCUAGGCUACCAUGGUGCCUAAAGCCACCACUUUGAGAGUUAACCCUUUCUGUAAAUGCAUAAUGUCUCCAGAAGCUUUCAGCUAAAAUACCAAUGUGUUAUUUUGGAGAGAGAACACAUGAACUCUGAGCAUUCACAAAUUGCCUAAGCAUGAACCAGUUUAUCAAGUCAUUUAAGUUGAGAGAAAGGUCCUCAAGGAAGGAAUUACAAAAUUGUGCUUUUUAUGGGACGUCGUGAGAAGGCUCAGGGAAGUUAUGAGGAGCAAGGCAAGGGUCACAGUCACAUUCACAGAACCUCAUUAGGGUGGAUCCACAGGACAUACUUCCCACUGCUCGCAGAAGUAUUACCACCCUUUGGAAUAAUCAAUCAAUCAAACCAACUCAACAAUCUUUCUUUUAAUGCUAGUGGCACAUAUUGACAUAAAAAUAAAAUUUUGCUUCCUGGUGGAACAUGAAUAAUAAAAGUAUUUUUAAAGUUGUUUUAA
rnacentral:lncRNA from 1 species